GUGGGGAAUAUUGGACAAUGGGGGGAACCCUGAUCCAGCCAUGCCGCGUGUGUGAAGAAGGCCUUUUGGUUGUAAAGCACUUUAAGUUGGGAGGAAGGGCAGUAAGUUAAUACCUUGCUGUUUUGACGUUACCGACAGAAUAAGCACCGGCUAACUUCGUGCCAGCAGCCGCGGUAAUACGAAGGGUGCAAGCGUUAAUCGGAAUUACUGGGCGUAAAGCGCGCGUAGGUGGUUUUGUAAGUUGGAGGUGAAAUCCCCGGGCUCAACCUGGGAACUGCAUCCAAAACUGCAUGACUAGAGUACGGUAGAGGGUAGUGGAAUUUCCUGUGUAGCGGUGAAAUGCGUAGAUAUAGGAAGGAACACCAGUGGCGAAGGCGACUACCUGGACUGAUACUGACACUGAGGUGCGAAAGCGUGGGGAGCAAACAGGAUUAGAAACCCCGGUAGUCC
rnacentral:rRNA from 1 species